UACGAAGGGGGCUAGCGUUGCUCGGAUUUACUGGGCGUAAAGGGCGCGUAGGCGGACAGUUUGGUCAGAGGUGAAAGCCCAGGGCUCAACCUUGGAAUUGCCUUUGAUACUGGCUGUCUUGAGUACGGGAGAGGUGAGUGGAACUCCGAGUGUAGAGGUGAAAUUCGUAGAUAUUCGGAAGAACACCAGUGGCGAAGGCGACUCACUGGCCCGUUACCGACGCUGAGGCGCGAAAGCGUGGGGAGCAAACAGG
rnacentral:rRNA from 1 species